rnacentral:rRNA from 1 species
UACGUAGGGAGCAAGCGUUGUCCGGAAUCAUUGGGCGUAAAGCGCGCGUAGGUGGCCAUUAAGUCCGCUGUGAAAGUCAAAGGCUCAACCUUUGAAAGCCGGUGGAUACUGGAUGGCUAGAGUACGGAAGAGGCGAGUGGAAUUCCUGGUGUAGCGGUGGAAUGCGCAGAUAUCAGGAGGAACACCAUAGCGAAGGCAGCUCGCUGGGACGUACUGACACUGAGGCGCGAAAGCUAGGGGAGCAAACAGG